UAAUUUAUAAAGUAUAUUAAACCAACCAUUCAUUUACAAUUAUUUAAUCGUAUCAUUCUCGAAUCUUAUAUUAUAAUCUAAGUAAUGUGACAAAAUGGAAAUUUUGAUAAGUGGAUCUGUUGAUUUUAGUAUAAUUGCAAAUGACAACAAUCACAAUUAAAAUAUAAUAAAAUUCAACACAGCUCGCACGUCCCAUUGAAAAUUUGAAGUAUUUCUAUUCCACUCAAGCCCAACAUUUCGGAAUGCUCGGCUCGUAAGCAACACCCAAUCGGGCUCAUCUAUUUAAUUAUAACUUCACUGCUUCUGGGCCAUAUGGGCCCUUCUUUUUGCACCUACAAAACUUAAAACGCUAUCAUUCAACUAUAAUUUUAAAAAUAUGAUCACGCAAAACAAACAUAUUCUUUCAAAUUUGUUUUUUAAAAAAUUAACAAGAAAAUAACACAGCAAAUUAAUUUAUAAAAUAUUAAAAUUUAAUAAAUUACCUUAAAUUUUUUAUAAAACAAACUUGAAAAGCAGAAAAACAAAUACAAAAAUAGUUUUUUUCCUUUAUAAAGUAAUUGUUUUUAUUAAUUUUAAAUAUUAUUGUAAUAGCCAAUCAAAUCCAAUAAAACUUGGGUCAAUCCUGACCCAAUUGCAUUUGGCCCAAUAAGGCCCAAGUGUGCUAACCCUAGCCUAACCCUAAGCAGCAGUUAGCAGUAGCCACCCCACGUCGCAGCAACCUCCAGUGCCGUGCACGCCCCACGUUCGGCAGCCUCCCAAACUGUCCCACAUCUUCGCUGGCACGUCCACUCGCACAACGCUCACACAUCUGCAAGCCAUAAACAACACUAAUAGGAUAUACACACAGCAAAACAGUUGUAAAAGGAUUUAGGGAGGGCUAUAUAAAGGCCAAUCAUUUUCUGUAACUGGGUUAGCAAAAAUUUUGUAUGAAAAUUAACAAGAAAUACAAGAGAAAGAAAACGAUUUUGGAAGGUAACAGAUUUUGUUCUGUUCUUUUACUGUUUUCACUUUAUUUUGUUUUUCUUUUGUUAGCCUAAAACAAAAAUAAAUAAAAAGAAGAAGGAAAGGGGUUUUUACCGGUGGUGGCGCGCCGUCGUGGCGCCGUCGUCGUCGUUGUGGCCGGUAAAAAAUGGGUCUGAAAUGGUGGAAGGGAGGCUGCGGCAAAUACAAAAAUGGCAGAGAAAGGGUUUUGAAAUGGGAUUUUAUAAGGG
rnacentral:lncRNA from 1 species